GUGAGCUGCAAGCCGGCGCCUGCAGCCGGAAGUUCCCAGCAAUUCCCAUAGGCAGUCAGGCAGGAUCCACGCCUUCCUUGGUUCUCCUGCCUCACGCGUAUUUUAGGGGAUGGGACAGGGACCUGCAUGAUAAGAUACAGAAUAAAAGGAAGACAGUAUAGCAUGAGCUGAAGACAGAUUUCUUAACCACAUCCAGUUAAGAGAAAAAGCAUUCUCCAACAGUGCUGACUCCACCUUCACACACACUUCCUCAAAAUCAGCCACGUUAAUAUGCACCAAGUGCUAAAUUAGAUAUAAUUCUUUAAACAGUGUAUCCUGAGUUUUAUUCUUCCAUGCUCAUUUCUGGGACUGUCACUAUUCCAGAUUUUCAAUGUUUUCUAAGCCUUCAGCACUGUGCCUAUGGGAUUUUGUUUUAUUUUUUAUUUAUUAUUUUUAAGAGAAUGAAACUUGCUUUCAAAGCACAGAACAGUGGCCUCUCCACCACCCACCACCCACCACCCACCUUCUAGCCUGGUGUUUCUGAAGGGAAGUUUGGCUGACACCAUGCUGGAACAGUUCCUCACUGAGUAAGAAAGUGUGACUCAUUGCAGGAGACUUAACAUAUCCAUCUCUGCACAUUAAGUACCAUUGGCUCCUGCAGGCUCCUAAAUGCCCUGUGGGCAUAAACUCUAGAAUUGCUGGAAGUGCAGUGACUUAUAGACAAUCUACUGUGCCUAUUCCAAAUGUGUCAAGUCUACAUCUACAUUAAAUCCACAAACUCGAGCCUCUGGGAUGGUGGUCCAGGAAUCUACCUCUGGUCCAUGGUCCAUACACCCAUGGCUUAAAACUGGAGUUAUUUAGUCAACUGUUUCUCUUAAGCUGAAACUCCUAGUGGUCUCCCUGACUAAGCAAUGUCCUAGACAUUCAAAUCAGACAGUUGGAAAGACCUAGAAAUUCUAUCGUCAUUUCCUUCUGAAACACAAGUUUAGGCAAACAGAAAGCUGGGGUGCCCUGAUAUUUUGUCCUCAAAUCGUGUCCGCCUGGUCAAGUCCUGGGCAAGGAAGACUGUCUUGAUUGCUACCUUACAAGAAUAUUGCGCUGGGGGUCAACUCGGGGCUCCAAGAUAAUUUCAAUAAAGCAUGAACAUCAGUGGUAGAAAACUUGGCUUAGCUAGAGAGUACAAGAUGACUGGAAAUACAGUGCAGGACAGAGGGCUGUGGGAUUAAUUUUUUCAUCAUCAUCACAACCAAAUACCUAACAAAAGAAACUUAAAGAAGGAGAGAUAGUGUUCAUAGUUCAUGGUUUACAGAUACUCUGUUUAUUAUGGCAAGGAAGGCCUUGGAAAUGAUAGGUCUCCAUAGCAGCAGGAUUAUAAGGAGCUGGCUAGCCAGUUCCUCCUACCUCCAGGCUAUGAACUUUAAAGACUUAUCCACAGUGACCCAGACAGACCUCACAUAUCCUAAUACAGCACUGCCAUCUCUCUGAGGACCAGUUACUCAAAUGCAUAAGCCUGAAGGAAGGGGAUUUUUGUGUUCAAAUUACAACAGAGGUCAUCCAGAGACCUAUUUCUACUUCAGAGCCCAUUUCAUAGGUCUAAGGUCUAAGAAGCCCCACCAACCUCAUCUAUGUGAUUUGCUUUUGUUGUGCCCUGUUUAUGUGGCAGGGUCUUACUUUAUAGCCCUGGCUAGCUUGGAACUCACUAUAUAGACCAGGCUGGCACCAUCCUAGCAAUUCCCUACAUCUACCUCCCAGGUGCUGGGAUUAAAGGCAUGUGGUACCACACUCAACCAUAGACACUAUUUUCUUAUUUUAAGCCAGAGUAGUAUUAGAUGCAUCACCGGGUCUCUGCCCAUGUGGCAGGUGACACAAUUCCCAGAGAGUUCCUUCUCACAGGGAAGAUCUUGAAAAUUCGACAGGAUAUGCAGAGUGAAGAGCAGAGAGGAAAGCCCUGCAUAUAUCCACCCAUCGGGGAAGAAUGGAGAUCUCCCUUUCAGCCUAUAGCUUUCAUUAAAAGAUCCCAGGGCAUUUCCAGGUUCUUGCUGAGCCUAAGAGUAAACUUUGAGAUAUAUGGUAAAAUCUGACAUGGUAAUAGAUUUUUUUUAAAGAAUAUUUUAUAUUUUAUUCUUUUAAAAUAGAGCAGCAUAGGACUAGGGGUUUGGCUCAGUCUGUAAAGUGAUUGUUAUACAAGCAUGAGGUCCUAAUUCUAGAUGCAGAGCAUCCACAAAAAUGCCAAGCAGAGAGAUAGCAACAGUGUUUGAAACACACACACACCAUACUCCUGUGUGCUCACGCAUCCACACAUGCACAUACUCACACACAAAUAUCAAAGAAGUCUAAUGAGGCACUUGUGCAUAUUAGGACCACUCCUUUAGAUCUUAGAAACAUCCCUAGCAGAGGGCAGCAUGAGUCCUUGGCAUCAGGGAGGGAGUCUCUAUACAUGGCCUCUCUUCUUCUUGACCCGAAAUUUCAUGGCCACAUCUCAGGCAUCCCUCGGAGCCUGCCAUAUUUGAAAAGUGCAGUCUGACUGUUCUGGUCUGGUGUUUUCUAUAUUCUCUGUGGCUUUUACAGUCAUGUUUUAUAGCCCCUAGCAAGUUCUAAUUGAUGUUUCUAGGCAAGCAAGAAUGAUCUAAAACAUAGCCCCAAAGAGCUGAGACUCUGCCCUCCUAACACUUGAGCCAGUCCCUGUGGCAUCUCAAGGGCCCAGGAUGAGAAAGACUUCCUAAUUUGGGAAAUUUCCAAAGCAACUCUCUUUCUCACACCCUGUUCUAUAAACCAUUCAAAGGCUCACAAUUCCACCAGACUUCUAUGGCUAUCACACAGAUGGGUAUGUUUACCUUUUGUUAGCAGAAAACCAGAAUAACAAUAGCACAGAUAAAGGAGACUUCUUUUUCUUACAUAAAAAAAAAGUGAGCCAGUGAUCCAGGACUCCCAGCCAUGGCUCACUGAGGCCAAAGCCCCAAACUCUUUCUAGUUUUCAGCUCAGCUCUUCCUUUUGUGUCAAGUUAGUUUUCAAGGUCACAGCACAGACGCUGAGUUUCCGGUCAUCAAAUAUUUAAGUUGAAGUUAGGAAAAAGAAAGGAAACUG
rnacentral:lncRNA from 1 species